GGCGUAAAGCGCACGCAGGCGGUUUGUUAAGUCAGAUGUGAAAUCCCCGGGCUCAACCUGGGAACUGCAUCUGAUACUGGCAAGCUUGAGUCUCGUAGAGGGGGGUAGAAUUCCAGGUGUAGCGGUGAAAUGCGUAGAGAUCUGGAGGAAUACCGGUGGCGAAGGCGGCCCCCUGGACGAAGACUGACGCUCAGGUGCGAAAUCGUGGGGAGCAAACAGGAUUAGAUACCCUGGUAGUCCACGCCGUAAACGAUGUCGAUGUGGAGGUUGUGCCCUUGAGGCGUGGCUUCCGGAGCUAACGCGUUAAAUCGACCGCCUGGGGAGUACGGCCGCAAGGUUAAAACUCAAAUGAAUUGACGG
rnacentral:rRNA from 1 species